rnacentral:rRNA from 1 species
CCUACGGGAGGCAGCAGUGGGGAAUAUUGGACAAUGGACCAAAAGUCUGAUCCAGCAAUUCUGUGUGCACGAUGAAGGUCUUCGGAUCGUAAAGUGCUUUCAGGUGGGAAGAAAAAAAUGACGGUACCACCAGAAGAAGCGACGGCUAAAUACGUGCCAGCAGCCGCGGUAAUACGUAUGUCGCAAGCGUUAUCCGGAAUUAUUGGGCGUAAAGCGCGUCUAGGCGGCCUUUUAAGUCUGAUGUGAAAAUGCGGGGCUCAACUCCGUAUUGCGUUGGAAACUGGAAGGCUAGAGUAUCAGAGGGGUGGGCGGAACUACAAGUGUAGAGGUGAAAUUCGUAGAUAUUUGUAGGAAUGCCGAUUGGGAAGCCAGCUCACUGGAUGAAUACUGACGCUGAAGCGCGAAAGCGUGGGGAGCAAACGGGAUUAGAUACCCCGGUAGUCCACGCCGUAAACGAUGAUCACUAAGUGUGGGGGGUCGAACCUCCGUGCUCAAGCUAACGCGAUAAGUGAUCCGCCUGGGGAGUACGCACGCAAGUGUGAAACUCAAAGGAAUUGACGGA